rnacentral:rRNA from 1 species
UACGGAGGGUGCAAGCGUUAUCCGGAUUCACUGGGUUUAAAGGGUGCGUAGGCGGACAGGAAAGUCCGUGGUGAAAUCCUGCAGCUUAACUGCAGAACUGCCGUGGACACUCUCUGUCUUGAAUAUCGUGGAGGUGAGCGGAAUAUGUCAUGUAGCGGUGAAAUGCAUAGAGAUGACAUAGAACACCGAUUGCGAAGGCAGCUCACUACGCGAAGAUUGACGCUGAGGCACGAAAGCGUGGGGAUCAAACAGG